UUUAUUUAGAUACUGCUGUUCCAGCUGUGCUUCUUCUAGACGCUUCAAGAAAAUUCAGAAUUUCUACUAGACCAUAAGCUUUCAGGAGAGUAGAAAAUCGAGAGAAAGUGACCAGCACUUUCCUCUGGGCUCUCCUGGUUUCCAUGUGGAAUUUGUAUUGGCUUCCCUGAGUGUGAAAGGAAGAUAUGGCUGACCAAGGGGCUCGCUUUCAAAGAAUGGUGGAACCAAUAAUAAGGAACAAUGUGUCUUUGCGGCCAUCUGCGUAACUCAGGGCAAGUUAUCCUUCCAACAAACCCACAGCUCCCUCCUCUGAGAGGGUAAGAGCCACAGGAACCCAUCUUUGGAGAUCUGAACUGACUGCUCAACGUGAGAACCGUGGACCAACAGAAGCUGGAAACCUAUUCCAAAUACACACUCUCUGCCUCGCCUGACUUCUACGUCAGAAUCUGAAUUUUAUCAGGCUACUCAGCUAACGGACACGUUGAUGUCGGAGCAGCACUGUUCUAGGGCAUUCUCACCCGAUUGUUCCGUUACCGCCCUGGGUUGGCUAAUUACUAUCAAGCUGUAGCGUUUGGCACGUGUGCAAAGAGGUUAAUAAGAUUCCACACGUCUCCCUGGCAUUGAGAUAACUUUCACACAUUUUUAGUAGUUGGGACGUGAAUGACUCAGAAGUACCUGUGUGACACCUGCCUUUCCUUGGCCUCUGUCCUCGCCCUUGCUGGCAGCUGGCAUGCCCCCCUCACCCCCACCCCCAUUCAGCAGCCGCUCUAGGCACUCCCUGCUCUUUCCCUCGUGUCAGUGGCUCCGUUCACCCGCCCCUACUACCUACCUAACUGAGCCUUCGCUCACCUGCUCAGUCACACUCGUCUACACGUUCCCGUUCCAAAGAGUAAAAUACAUGGUCACCUGUGAGAUGGCCCUAACAAAGAUGUUUAAGUGGAGUGAUCACACUUUGGGGUGGGUAGACAACAGUUACUUUUGUAGAGAAUUUAUUUCACUCACUGGCCAUUUCACCAGGUAACUGAGAUAACCCAUGACCUUGAAGACCCCUCGAUGCAAUGGCAGGAUGGCAGGUGUGGGAGAGGCGUCACGUGGAAAUCCCAUGCAGUGGCCUGAUGGGAUGAUACGUGCCUUUGGAAAGACAUGGGAGCAAAUAAGCAAGGACGGCUUUGGGAGAGCCAGGAAGGAUCUGGGGGAGGAGGUGAUAUCCUUCUGUGAUCCCCCAACCCCAUCCAAGUGAAGUUACUCCCCUAACAGAUAGAGCCCCCAGAGGUGCACACAACAGUCUUUAACUGUCAUCUUUCCUGGGAGGCCGAGUUGAGCGAUGGCACAAGAGCGGGUGCUUAACCCCUGUUUGUUGAAUGGAAGGGUAUGAUCUGAAUCUUGGAGAGUUGGGAGUUGGCCGUGACCAUGGGUGGCCAUCCUCCGGGGGCAGAGGAAGCCCAAGGCAAGGCGGAGAGGAUGGCACAGCUUGCUCUAACUAAUGUUAGCACACCUUUCCCCAGCUGGGUGGAUCCAGCCAGUGGAUCGCGGACACGUUGCCGUUCUGGAAGCUCCUUCUCAGAUCUGCCUUAGGCAGAGGUCACCCAGCUGAAAGCCUGUGGCUCGUAGGCGGUGACACACUGAAAGUUGAACUGCCAGCCACCAGCACGUCUCAGAAGGUGGCUCCCUCUUUUGAGAAAGUGCAGCGAGCGGGGCGAAGCCUGCCCGGGGCUCCCCUGGGCGCUGUACCCACGGCCGGCCUCUUCAAAGCAGGCUGUGACUGUGCUUCCCGGGAGCAGGCCACCAGGACCUAGAACUUCUAGAAGGGAAAGCGGAGCUGGAGGGCUGCCAGGACGAGAAGCUGUCUGCUGCACGACCAGGAAAAGAAAAGCUAGGCUUCUGUCUCCAGCGCCUCCUCACCCGUUUCUCGACAUCCUUUGGCGUUCGAGGAGGCUGCUGUUGCUUUGGGGGCAGUGACGUGCACAGUGACAUUUGUACUAGUACCUUCCCGAUGACGGCCUCCUGUUUACCCCAGCACAGCACGAAGUGGGGAACUGUUCCAGAGAACUUAAGAGCACAUGCGUGCGAAGGGCAGAGCACGGCCUGGCCUGGCAGGCGUGUCCUGGGGCUGCCGGCCACGGCCCUGUCGCCUGGCCCCCGGUCCCAGCACCCAGUGGCCCGAUCGCUGGGGCCCCGGGCAGGUCUGCUCGGACUGUCCAGGCACACAGGAGGCUCUCCCUGUUGGCGAGUACUUGUGCCAUCAGGAGCCACAAGCUGGAGGCCAGCAGGCCCGAGGCAAGCCCUGUAGUUGCAAGAUCCCGAAUUAUAGGUUUCAGGAGUGAGGGUAGUGCCACCCCCGGGCAGUGCCACCCUGCCUCAGGCCUCCUGGGGCUUGGUCGGGCAUGAACUUCAAGUCACCAGGGAGGAAUCACAGCUGCCGGGCCAGGUCAGUGGGGUCAUUGCCUCAACACACCCCUGCAGGAGGAUGUGAAAAGAACAUUCGAGGUGCAGGACUCUGUGCGCCGAGCCCAGGGACCUCACAUAACCGUGUGCCUCAGUCCCAAACCGAUUCCAUCCAAACUUCUAGUGAAAGUGGUUCCACGCCUGUGGCAAGGUCAACUGCCCGCAGAGUCUGAUGGGACCGGUGGGUAGAGGCACCAAGGAGGGGAGCAAGAACUUUCUCGCUUGUUCUUUACCCGGAGCAUCAGCUGCAUUCUCCUGCUUCUCUUCAGGACGCCUGAGUGGUCAUGUCGUUCAGAUAUUUGGGGGGGGGGGGGGCAUGGCUCCAAAGACCCAGUCCUUGACCCCGGGUUGCUGAGCGUUGAAGAGCUCCCUUUGACAGAAACUGUGUGAUGUGCUCCUGGACGUGUUUACACAUUCGAGGUCUCCCUGGAAAGACACCAGCCAUCCGGGGUGGGGGGGCUGGGUGCCCGGGAUCCACGCUGUGCCCCUUGGAUGCCUGUGGAGCAGAGAGCGCUACCAAGGCCCUCACCGGUGGACUCGGGACCCCGGGUCCGGUGCCUCCCCCCGCCCCGGGGACACCUGUCCUCACCCCUUCGCCGGAGACCUGGAACGGCGCUGCCUCUGAAGGUGCAGACAGCCCGGGGUGGCAAAUUCGCUUCCUUCUACAUCUGGGACUCACAUCACCAGCUUUCUGUGGGAUCUCGGGUGCAAUCUUUCCUGGGUUGGUCUAAAUAUAAUCUUCAGUAGGCAGGAGAGGAAUGCUUAGAAAGUACCCAACUUGCUGGUGUCAAGGGGAGGCAGAUCUGACUUCUAUACCGUCUAAUUCAGUUCUAUCCCCCUCGUGUUUGUUCACUCAGCCACCAUCGUCCUAAUUCUCACCUGCAGGCCGCCGAAAAUAAUUAAUCUCUGGGUCUGCGGUAGCGCCCCCCACCCCUUGGUAAUCCUGCCAACACAUUCCUGGAAGAAGCCUAUUUCACUAGCCUCCAGUGGAGGAUGGUGAGGCUCGGAACAGACCUCAGUAUGAAAGAAAAGUCCGCAUUCUAGGGAGGGUUUUCAUGAGAGGGGCUGCUUUUCCUCAUUUGCACAAAAGCCCCCCGAAUGGGAUAAUAGUGUCUCUGGGAGAGGAACUCUGGCCCGUGCUCUGCAGAUAUUAUUCCUUGCCUCUGAGCAUGGGGUUUGGGGAAGAGAAAGCCCAAAUCCCAGCCCCUUUUUAAUUGUUAAAAUAUUAUAACAAACAUACUAAACAGUUUUGAACAAAGGAAGGACACGGUUAUCCUUGCACAUUCUGUGCGUCCCGUCCAUGUGUAACUUAUGUGUUCCCUUGGAAUAUAUUCACAAUUUUUAUGCUACCUUUUUUUUUUUUACUAUUAUACUAUAAGCACCUCACGUUCCCUGUGGGUUUCUGAGUUUCACAAUUAUAAUUUUAAUGCUACAUGAUUUUCACUGAUGUCAGGAGUGACAAUAACUGCUGGAAGUUAGCACUGCUUGUGGUGUUUUGCCUUCGUAGAUAACCUCUCCCUAGGCCUCGGUGGGUCUGUAGCUUAUUCUUCCUUGGUAUUUGAAUAAAUUCCCAUGAGCGGGGCAAAGCUUUAACAAUCUCACAGCCCUUGAUACGUGUCACCAUAUUGAUUUCUUAAAGGAUGCUAAAGUUUUGUAUCUUAUGGAUGAAUAAUGUGCGAGCCAAGGCAGGGAUGAUAGUCAAAAUUUAUCAACUCGUUGGAGCAUUGGUACUGACUUAAACUGAGGCCAGCUGGUCAGCCUGCCAAGGUGCUCUGCCCGAAUAUUGGCCCUACUUGGAUGGCAGACUCAGUGCCUUCAGGGCACACUUCUCAUCCGUUGUCUUCUCUGUCUGCCUUUCAUUCUCUCUUUCUUUUCCUCUAGUCCCUCUUUUUUGAACUAUUUUUGAGCAACGUGGUAGUCAUAAAGCAAUAGCUGAUACCUCAUCCACUAAUGACUCUGUCUUCACAGGUUGGAGCCCAAUUGACUCUUGGAACGACCCUAUCAGGUAGUUUGGUCCCAUUUUGUGGACAUGAUCACUAAGGCUUGGCUGGUUAAAUUUCUUGCCCAGGCACACAGAGGUGAAACAGGACAGAACUGAGAUUCAAACCCAGUCUGGCUGGCUGGCUCCACAGCUCUCAACCAGGAGGCUGCCCAACCCGUAGGGUGUUGGGAGGCUGGGUGGGAGAGCCAAAGAGAGAAAUUGAAAUCCUGGAGGGACUGAAAAUGGGUUGUUUCAGUUUCCCUUUUGCUCUUUUUGUUUCCUGCAUUAUUAAACUAUUUGAUUAGAUUCUCCUGGUGUCAUAUUUAUUUGCAGCUGUUAAACAUUAGAAGACUUCAGACGGGGGAUUUAUUUAAAGCAUAGUUAUUAAAAUGUCUAUUUUGAUUUAAGGAUUUCUUCUGCUUUGUAUUACUUACUUGUCUCAUAUCUCUUUAAUCUAUAGUCAUUUCUAAUAAAGAAUGUUCAGAACCUA